rnacentral:rRNA from 1 species
ACGCUGGCGGCAGGCUUAACACAUGCAAGUCGAACGGUAACAGGGAUUAGCUUGCUAAUUUGCUGACGAGUGGCGGACGGGUGAGUAAUGCUUGGGCAUCUGGCUUAUGGAGGGGGAUAACUACGGGAAACUGUAGCUAAUACCGCGUAAUAUCGGAAGAUUAAAGGGUGGGACUUUCGAGCCACCUGCCAUAAGAUGAGCCCAAGUGGGAUUAGGUAGUUGGUUAGGUAAAGGCUGACCAAGCCGACGAUCUCUAGCUGGUCUGAGAGGAUGACCAGCCACACUGGAACUGAGACACGGUCCAGACUCCUACGGGAGGCAGCAGUGGGGAAUAUUGCACAAUGGGGGGAACCCUGAUGCAGCCAUGCCGCGUGAAUGAAGAAGGCCUUCGGGUUGUAAAGUUCUUUCGGUGACGAGGAAGGUUGAUAGGUUAAUAGCCUAUCAAAUUGACGUUAAUCACAGAAGAAGCACCGGCUAACUCCGUGCCAGCAGCCGCGGUAAUACGGGGGGUGCGAGCGUUAAUCGGAAUAACUGGGCGUAAAGGGCACGCAGGCGGUGACUUAAGUGAGAUGUGAAAGCCCCGAGCUUAACUUGGGAGUUGCAUUUCAUACUGGGUCGCUAGAGUACUUUAGGGAGGGGUAGAAUUCCACGUGUAGCGGUGAAAUGCGUAGAGAUGUGGAGGAAUACCGAAGGCGAAGGCAGCCCCUUGGGAAUGUACUGACGCUCAUGUGCGAAAGCGUGGGGAGCAAACAGGAUUAGAUACCCUGGUAGUCCACGCUGUAAACGAUGUCGAUUUGGGGAUUGGGCUUUGAGCUUGGUGCCCGUAGCUAACGUGAUAAAUCGACCGCCUGGGGAGUACGGCCGCAAGGUUAAAACUCAAAUGAAUUGACGGGGGCCCGCACAAGCGGUGGAGC